rnacentral:rRNA from 1 species
ACAUCCAGAGACUUAGCAGAGAUGCUUUGGUGCCUUCGGGAACUCUGAGACAGGUGCUGCAUGGCUGUCGUCAGCUCGUGUUGCGAAAUGUUGGGUUAAGUCCCGNAACGAGCGCAACCCUUUAUCCUUUGUUGCCAGCGGUUCGGCCGGGAACUCAAAGGAGACUGCCGGUGAUAAACCGGAGGAAGGUGGGGAUGACGUCAAGUCAUCAUGGCCCUUACGGCCAGGGCUACACACGUGCUACAAUGGCGCAUACAAAGAGAAGCGACCUCGCGAGAGCAAGCGGACCUCAUAAAGUGCGUCGUAGUCCGGAUUGGAGUCUGCAACUCGACUCCAUGAAGUCGGAAUCGCUAGUAAUCGUAGAUCAGAAUGCUACGGUGAAUACGUUCCCCGGGCCUUGUACACACCGCCCGUCACACCAUGGGAGUGGGUUGCAAAAGAAGUAGGUAGCUUAACCUUCGGGAGGGCGCUUACCACUUUGUGAUUCAUGACUGGGGUGAAGUCGUAACAAGGUAGGCGUAGCGAG